rnacentral:tRNA from 1 species
UUCACCAUGGCUGAGUGGUUAAGAUGAUGGACUAGAAACCCAUUGGGGUCUCCUGCAUAGGUUUGAAUCUUAUUGGUGAUA